rnacentral:rRNA from 1 species
UACGUAGGGUGCAAGCGUUAAUCGGAAUACUGGGCGUAAAGCGUGCGCAGGCGGUUGUGCAAGACCGAUGUGAAAUCCCCGGGCUUAACCUGGGAAUGGCAUUGGUGACUGCACGGCUAGAGUGUGUCAGAGGGGGGUAGAAUUCCACGUGUAGCAGUGAAAUGCGUAGAGAUGUGGAGGAAUACCGAUGGCGAAGGCAGCCCCCUGGGAUAACACUGACGCU